UAUCUCUCUGUACAGGGAAGGAUGAGAAUCUUCGAUUAAGGUUCGACUCGAGCGGAAGCGAGAGAGCGUUGCCAACGGCAACGGCCCGAAGGGCGCGACGCGCCGAGUCAUCCUUCCCCCACCACAA
rnacentral:sRNA from 1 species